rfam:Mycobacterium kansasii strain 1010001458 NODE_4_length_179710_cov_37.7418_ID_1361, whole genome shotgun sequence.
GCCUACCACGCGCCGAGCUCCAUCCAGUAGGUGAGGGGUUCCGACCGCGGAUGGAGGCGGGGGACCCACCGGGUCCGCCGAGAUCGGACCGGGGCCGUUCACGGCCCUUGGGGUGAAGCCGACGUCGUCUCACCGGAGUACGACGCUGGCCGGGUGGCCUCUCUGGUUUUGAACCAACCCGAACCCGACAGCUGACCUCGUAGGCGUGUACAGAGAGGAAUA